UGGUCUUGACAUGUUAACGAUCGUCUUGGAAACAAGAUUUCCCUUCGGGGCGUUAUUAC
rnacentral:rRNA from 1 species